rnacentral:misc_RNA from 1 species
GAAAUGCGAUAAGUAGUGUGAAUUGCAGAAUUCAGUGAAUCAUCGAAUCUUUGAACGCACAUUGCGCCCCUUGGUUUUCCAUGGGGCAUGCCUGUUCGAGCGUCAUUUGUACCCUCAAGCUCUGCUUGGUGUUGGGUGUUUGUCCCGUCUCCGCGCGUGGACUCGCCCCAAAGUGAUUGGCAGCCGGCGUACUGGUCCCGGAGCGCAGCACAUGUCGCGCAAACGAGUGCCUUGGUACGGCGGCGUCCAUAAGCCCCUCUCUCACGCUCUUGACCUCGGAUCAGGUAGGGAUACCCGCUGAACUUAAGC